rnacentral:rRNA from 1 species
GCAAGUCGACGAGAAGGGGCUUCGGUCCUGAGUAGAGUGGCGCACGGGAGAGUAACGCGUAGGUAAUCUACCUCUGCAUCUGGGAUAACACUUCGAAAGGGGUGCUAAUACCGGAUACACUUAUGUGUCGCAAGACGUAUAAGGAAAGGAGACGAUCCGCAAGGAGUUUCUGUGUAGAGAUGAGCCUGCGUCCCAUUAGCUAGUUGGCAGGGUAAAGGCCUACCAAGGCGACGAUGGGUAGCGGGUCUGAGAGGAUGAUCCGCCACACUGGAACUGAAACACGGACCAGACUCCUACGGGAGGCAGCAGUGAGGAAUAUUGGACAAUGGGCGCAAGCCUGAUCCAGCGACGCCGCGUGAGUGAUGAAGGCCUUUGGGUCGUAAAGCUCUGUCAGCAGGGAAGAACGGCCGUGUGGUUAAUACCCAUGCGGAUUGACGGUACCUGCAGAGGAAGCACCGGCUAACUCCGUGCCAGCAGCCGCGGUAAUACGGAGGGUGCGAGCGUUAAUCGGAAUUACUGGGCGUAAAGGGCGCGUAGGCGGCUGAUCAAGUCAGGUGUGAAAGCCCACGGCUUAACCGUGUGAAGUGCAUCUGAAACUGGUCGGCUUGAGUAUCGGAGAGGAAAGUGGAAUUCCCGGUGUAGAGGUGAAAUUCGUAGAUAUCGGGAGGAAUACCGGUGGCGAAGGCGACUUUCUGGACGAAUACUGACGCUGAGGCGCGAAAGCGUGGGGAGCAAACAGGAUUAGAUACCCUGGUUAGUCCACAGCUGUAAACGAUGUGCACUAGAUGUGGGGAAGUGUUGACCUU